CCCCCCAGGCUCCCCCUCCCCAGCUGAGCUGCUGGACUGGGGCCACUGGGGGAGACCAGAGGGGCUGGGCCUCCUCACUAUCCUCACAGC